GGCCUGGUGGUGUAACGGUAACACACCCUCUACUGCUAUUCUCCACAUGGGAUGUAAGGAGGUUUCUUGUUCGAACCAAGGUCAGGCCU